UCCGGUAAAAAUGGCGUCGUAUCGGUGGAUUUGUCGCGUUUUUAUCACCUCUAGCAUUUAGGGCACAUUUUCGCUUACUGUGAUCUUGUUUGAGGAAACAUGAAAAUGAAUGUUGUUCAGUACCCCUUUGCAGAAAAGUGAUUAAGCUUUCCCUAAUUUCCUAGUGCCCUGGUAGAGUUUAGGCUAGUCCGGGUGGUAUUUAGUAGCCUAUUUAAAGGUACUGGGACUGGCUUGGAGGAGGAGCUUUGAGUAUACAACCAUUUAGUACUGUUCCUUUUGAAAUACAAUAGUUCACUAGGAGCUGCAUCUGCAUGCUGCAUGUGAAAAGUAAUUCUACCUCGAUUGCCUGCAUAAGCAAAUGAAAGAAAAUAAACGCCUGGAGCGGAUCAGAUGAGCCCCACCAACUGACGUCCUUUGGUGGAUUAGUAUUCAAGGCCUCGCCCACCUUGGCUUGCGACGGCCCACGGGAAGACACUAUUCAUUUUGCCUCCAGUUGACCAUCUCGGCAGAUAGGACUGGAGCAAACAGCAAGGUGCUUACAUGGCAGAACAAGUUCGUGCCUGUGCUAUUUGUGGCGAUAACAAAGCCACGUUGCAUCUCUUGCCCAAGAAAGAAGAGUUGAGGAAGAAAUGGUUGGAAUUUAUCUUUGGAACACUACCAGCGAAAUACAAUUCCAAUUUAGUUCUGUGUUCUAAUCAUUUUGACCACAGUGACUUUUCCAACUUCGGUGCUUACAGUAGUGGUUUUGCUUCAAGAUUGUUCAUAAAACCUGGAUCUGUACCGUCACGACGAUCGACCGCCAGCUCACAGACUAGCACAUUGGUGACCCCCCCCACCCACACCAGCACACAAACAGAUCCACCUAGCCUUUCAUGUCGGGCUACACUGCUUGCUAUGGGAACAUUAGGUCAUCCUGCUAGAAGCAAAGGUACCCAAACUGAAUCCUUCAUGAAAAGUAUGAGCAUUUCCACGAGUACUUUGGAUGCACCAUGGGGGCCGGCUACCUCCAUGCCCGUGAAGCAUGUUCAUCCCAGGCCAGCUAAAAGACCUCGGGUUGGGGAGGAGGAGGAGGAGGAGGAUGAAGGUGACAUCUUCACAAUAAAACCUGAACCCCACGACUCCACCUAUGAUCCAGCGCAGUCAAGGAGCAAUGUGACAGAAUCAUUACAGCCCACUGAUACGUCUUCAACUGGAUACAAAGACUCCAAGUGCAUCGUAUUGGAGAAGAACCUUAUGGAACUUUUUGAAACGUGUCCAGUCUGCAGCCGAGUGUCAGAUGUGAGGACCUACAAACGAGGAACAUAUUUGUCGGUCGUCCAAAAAUGCAAUCACUGCCAGUAUUCCAAGCAAUGGAAGAGCCAGCCAGUGAUGGCAGCGUCCCUGUAGGCAACAAUCAACCGUCUGCUGCCAUAUAUUUCACCGGCCGUUCAUAUUUUCACUCAAAGCCCUCUGCAGAGUGGAGAAGAUACUUACGAAUAAGAGGGUCCUCAGUGAUGAUGAGGAGCUAAGCUCCCGGUAUCAGACCUCAACACUGGAGGCAUUCCACCGGGUAAUCUUGGGCUUCACACCCAAAAGUGUGGUCUACUCUUCAUUGGGAUGUUGUACAGACUAUAUCUGGCAGCAAUGCCCGUCAAUGGAAACGCUGGUCGCACUCAGGCAAGAACAACUUCAGGGAAACGGAUGUACAGAAAAGGCUACGUCUACAACCUGAAAGCUGUGGUGUUUGAAGAGAUGGUCCCCAACCCCCAGUCUGCUCGGAGGAGCUCUAGAAUAUCUGACCUCAGUUUUGUACCAUCCUCUGAUGAGAGGAGCUGUGGCUGCAUAAACAUCUCGCUUUACCCCAGGGCGGCCCUAAAGACGAGGUAUUGGCCCUGUGUGUCUGGGAGCUCCCUUCGGAUCUUCAGGACAACACAAGCCGGAACAACAACUCUGACCUUUCUUCCUAAAUAACCCAGCACCAGCGUACAAAAUAUCUGCAGGCCAGAUGUCUGCAUCAGCUGGCAAAAAGAGGACAUUGCUAAUUCUGUACAUAGUUUUGUGUUUCGUUUUGCGUUUGCAUUAUUUUUUAUAGACUUCAUUAUGACUAUGUAAAUAUAAUAAAGUUAUUUGUUGAAAAUGGA